rnacentral:rRNA from 1 species
GACGAACCGAGCGAACGUUAUUCGGAAUCACUGGGCUUAAAGGGCGCGUAGGCGGGCCAUCAAGUCGAGGGUGAAAGCCCCCAGCUCAACUGGGGAAGUGCCUCCGAUACUGGUGGUCUCGAGGGAGAUAGGGGCGUGCGGAACUUCCGGUGGAGCGGUGAAAUGCGUAGAUAUCGGAAGGAACACCGGUGACGAAAGCGGCGCGCUGGAUCUCUUCUGACGCUGAGGCGCGAAAGCCAGGGGAGCGAACGGG